CACUUUGAAAACUGUUGAAUCGCAAUUUAUUACUUGGGCACAAUAUUUUUAUUUUAUUCACUUCAUUUUCCCCACAUAAUAACCAGGAAAAUGCUCCCUCAGCAAAAUUUGAUACUAUUGUACUAUUUGUUUAGUGCAUUUUUUCAACCUUUAAAAUGAAAAAGGUGCAAAUCAAACGCGAAAGACUUAAAUGGUAAAGUAUAAAUUGUGUAUAUGCCUCUACUUCAUGUGAAGGAUGAAGACGAAUACUUCAGUAUCAGACGAUGCAUCCCCACGCAACGAAACCCCCCGAAAAAUUUCGGAAUAUCUUCAAGUCCAGCCGCAGAUGAAGAUAUUUUGUCUCGACAAAAAAUUAAAGUUGGUAAGAAGAUAAACAAAACGUUAAUAUUUAAAAAAAACGACAUAACCAGACAAACUCACCUGGAAAUUGCAAACCAGAAGGAUUUCACUCACCUAAAGAGGUAAAGAGGAAACAGGAAGCACAAGUGCAAACAGCUCCAGACGGACAUGCAGAGACCUCGCGAAGAGUUUUAUGUUUCUUAUGGACAAGGAACCUUAUCGAAAGAAUUUCGUACCAAAAAAAGUUCUUUGUGUGGACGGCGAUCCGCAAUUGUGAAGAGAAUAGCUAAUGAAUGUUUCCAAAAUAAAUGGUUGGCUUUUCUGAGACAACAAUACGAUUUACUUUCUUUUGGUCACGUUUAACCUCGGGUUUAGCCUUUUAGCAUUCAGCCACUAAUCACCCAAUUGCUUAUAACUCUGACCUAUAUCAAACGCCAGUCAAAAGGGCCUUGGAGUUAUCAAACCAAGGAGCAAAAACAAUUGAAAAUGUCAGAAAAAAAAACACGAAGAAAAUAGCGUAUAUGCCACAGAACUAAAGUGCGUCAUAAUCAGUCGGGUGCUUGCCCUCAACUACGUUUAGGGCAACAAUCAGUACCCUCA